GCGUUGUCCGGAUUUAUUGGGCGUAAAGAGCGUGUAGGCGGCCAGAUAGGUCUGCUGUGAAAACUCGAGGCUCAACCUCGAGCUGUCGGCGGAAACCAUUCGGCUAGAGUCCGGAAGAGGAGAGUGGAAUUCCUGGUGUAGCGGUGAAAUGCGCAGAUAUCAGGAAGAACACCUAUGGCGAAGGCAGCUCUCUGGGACGGUACUGACGCUGAGACGCGAAAGCGUG
rnacentral:rRNA from 1 species